AGCUAGUACUAUGCAUAGUAGACAUUUUGAUCUUGUGUUGCGUAUUACAAGUAUGAUCUGUUACAUGUAAAUUAAACUAAACUUUAAAUGAUUUAUAUCAUUUAUCAUUCUACGGAUUAAAUAAUUCCGAGCAUGUUUGUUCGGAAAACAUGUUUUAAACGUUACAAACAAAAAUGUUAGUUUAAUUCUGGUGGUGAACGGUAUAACUUCUUUGUUUCUUUUACCAUCUUUUUAUGCUGGAAUGGUCAGUCUUAACAGAGAUUUAAAUACGUUAGGUAGAGGAGGGGUAUUUUUUGAUUCGUCUCACAAUAUGGAUGAUGAAGAGUAUCUUCAACCUAUAUUAACUUCUCAAGAAGAACAUUUUCAAAAAUUAGAUACUGUAUCAAUUGUGUCUUUUCCCCUUAUAUUUAGUGUGUCUUUAGAAAUUACAGGAAUUAUAUUUAUAUGUGCGUGGCCUGAAGAAAAAAAUAAAUGUGAUACAUAUUUUACAUAUUUAUAUCUUCAUUGUGCUUAUUGGUUGAUAAUUAUGUUGACGGAUCAUUUAGUAAAAACAAAGCACCAUAAACUUCGUAUUUAUGGAUACCUUGAUUUUUAUCAAUCAACGUAUCAACAAAUAAGAACGCCUCUUUUCAUAGCAUCAUUGUGGAUAACAUGUUAUUUACUGUUGGCUGUGAUUUUACACCACAUGCACAAAGUUAAUUAUGAAGAAUAUUGUCGUGCAUCGGAAUGGUUUACUCCUCUAAAUUAUAUAGUGUUGUUAACCACAAUAGAACUUACAAUUAUCAUACCAGUUUAUAUAAAUUACAUCAAAAAAGUUUUGAGAUUCAAUCGAUUACGUCCACCACCUGAUGUUUCUAAAGAAGAGUGGCUAUCUUCUUUUACUCAAGAUACAUAUGCAGGUAGCAGUGAAGUAGGUUGCCGUCAUGGGGGAUCUAAUUUGGAAGAAUUACUUGAAAAACAAGCAGAUUUGAUAAGAUAUUUAAGAGAUCACAAUGUUAAAUUGAGUCAUAGAAUAAUGUUGUUGGCAGCUCAACGUGCAUUGCCUUAAACAUAAAAUUGUGGUCUAUGCAAAAUACAAGCCUCAGAUUUCCGAAAAACCGCUUAUCUAAAAUGGUUUGUUCCCCAAUUAGUUCAAGUAAUCAACGUUCUACUGUAUUAGAAUUCCAAAAAUAUUUAAAGAGGAAAUGAUAUAUAUUUUAUUUUUUACUAUAAAAGUUGAGGGAAAAAGAAAAAAGAAAGACAGGAAAGCGAGAGUUUACUCAUUUCCGUGAUCUAUGAUGCUGUAUACAGUGAUCUCAAUAGAAAUAUGUAAUAUAUGAAUUAUUAUCAUUAAUCUGUAAGAUCAGGCCUUGAGAUGUUAAAAUCGAAAAAACUGUUUAGAUGGUCAGAUUUGUUUAUCUUGAAAUUAUUGCAGGACCAACGAAACUAAAAUCGAAUUAUUUGUGUAUCAAAUUGAAUUAAUAAUUCAUUAAGAUGAUUAUAUUAUUGGCUGUCGAACUAUCAUAUUAUGCUGACUUUUCUGGUAAAACGGAAGGUCAUGUUGGAUAUUUACUCCCACGAAAAUUCUGGAAAUAGCAAGCUUUCGAAUACGCGUUUGUGGAAAUGUGUGCAUGAUUCGAUUAGAAUAAUAUACUGUUAACGUUAACUCUGUUGUUUUCCCAAUUCUAUCACAUGAUUCUUUGUAUUUCUUUCUUGUUUGUUUUUCAUCAUACAACACUGAUCAAAUUUAUUUGAUUUUAUAAAGAUUUACUAUUGCUUACCUGAAUGCAGCGUAAAUUUCUCUGCCCGAUGCCAUCGUCACUGCGAUAUCAGGCAACGACCCUGAAAUAAAGAGUCCUCUGUCUGUGAAAUAAAUUCAUUGAUUGUAAUGGAAAAUUCGAGCAUAUGAACAGAUAAAAAUUUAUAGUAAGAUAAUUUCGAGCAUUCAUUUUUAAGAAUCAUCCUAUUUUUCUUGAAUGACAGGUAGCUCCAUUCAGAAUUCUUAUUGGAUCUUCUGUAUCGAGCUAAAGAUAUUAAAUAUUUAAUUUUACGACGUAACUCAUUUUACCACGCGAUAGAAAAUUUGCACGGAACAAAAAUAUUAAAAUGAGUAAAUGAUUUAUGAACAUUUUAAUAAUCGAGUGAGGAUUUUCCAAAGAAAUAUAACCAUGUUAUAUUUUAUACCGUAGCGCAUAUUUCUGGCAAAAAAACGUGAUGUGUAAAAGAAAUUAUUUACUUCAAAAUAGACAUUCAUAGAUACAACUACUCAUAGUUAAUGAGAUAAAAAAUAGCGAUUAUCUUAUAUUCUUGCUCAUUACUGAAAAUUCAAUGAUUUCUUAUUGAAAUAAGAAAAUAAGAAAACUGAUUUUUGUCAGAUCAAAAUAAAGUCAGUUUUCUCCGCGGUAGUACAAAAGUAUAUUGUCUGAUAUUAACACUGACACGCCAUUGUCUACAUUUAUCAUUUAUAAGGCCAACUAUGUGAUUUAUAGUGAUUUCCUUACGUAAAUUGCAUCGCUUCGUUUUAUUUAACAAAGAUCGAUUGGCGUGCCAUUGUUGUAUCCGGUUGCCUGUGGUCGUGAAACAAACGAUAAAGAUUCUAAAAAAAAAAAAAAAAAAAAAAAAAAAAUACGCUUCACAAUAAAAACGUUAUUCCCCAUAAUAGCCGACUAUUUUCUGUAGACGACGUAUGCAAAUUUAUCUGAUGGAGGCGAACCAAAUUGAGUGCAUUUACACGUGUCCGCUUUACACGUCACACGCUACGUCAUGAACCACGCAAAUUUCAAUUAUAUUUUCCUGAAUGCAUUCCGCCCUUGCUACUAAUAGCAGCGUUUAAAAGUCCAACGAGGUCGGAAAACGAAAAUGAACCGUGAUAGAAAGUGUAUUAUUUGCGAUAGCUAAUUUCGAAUAAAUCCCGAUUAUCGGCGGCCAGUGUGAAUUCGCCAGAAUAAUCGAUGAUGUAUAAGGAAGGUGGUAUCCUGAUCUGUCUAAAAUAGAAUCACGAACUCGAACACGAGGAGAUCGAAACCUUGGCCCCAUAGAGUCGAAGCUUGCGUCUGUUUCGUUGAUAAAAUGAUUAAUUAAGCACCACGUGAACUAAAUAUCUCCUGUUCAAGCAUCAGGAUCUUAAUGAGCAAUCACUUUGGCAUUUGACCAAUGACGCUACAUCAUAUGCAGAGGGUGUUAAUUGCGAUUAAAAAAAAAAAAAAAAGAAAAGGAAAAGAUGCGCGAGAAGAAAGUAAUAGAAACUGGGGACCGACCUUCGUAACUACACGAGAAAGAGGAUUGGAACUCGAGCCGAGGAGUGCUUCGCGACCUUAGACGAUGCGACCUGCACACGAAAUAUCCACGAACCGUGACCACUUCUGCCAGCUAAACGUAGAGAAACAAAGAAGUUUCCAGUUUCAAGCCGUGUCGUGAUCGUCGUGAUUGCCGUUUUAUUCCGUUAGUGUACGCGCGAAUUCGCGAAUCGAUCACGCGCGCAAUUAACGAUACGCGUCUAUAUACUUAGUCGAGUAUGAACAAAGAAAGAAAAGAAAAAGUUUGACACAAAAGAGCAAAAAGGGGAAAAAAACGACGUUCUGUCUCACACCUUCGUCGGUACAUACAUAUUUCAUUAGACACA